UUUGCUUUUGGGAAGAAAAAAAUAAAAUAAAAUAAAAUAAAUAGACGUAGAAGAAUAGAACACGAAACCAAAACUAAAAUGUGCCCUAUAUAAACCCACUUACCUAUUUAUUCAUUUUGAGACACAAUUUAUAAUUGUUACUGCAGGGAAAGCAAAACCAUUUUGCCCCACAAAACCGAAAGACGAAGAAGAUAAGAUAACCCAAAUGGCCGCUUCCAAGCCUUCCACCAAUAUUCCUCUUCUUAAACCGUACAAGAUGGGAAAGUACGAUCUUUCUCAUAGUUCACGUGACCUUUCCUUUUAUGAGGGCAUUUGAUGGGAUUAAAAAAAAUGAAUCAGACAUAUACAAGAGAAAACCCCAUACCCAAUCUUCCAUUAGAUUAUCUUCCUCUGCUCUUAGCCUCUAUGACACAGGAGUUUGCAAACUCUUCAUAUAAGCUAUUAGCUGCAAGAGAGAGAAAAAAAUAAAGUAUCAAAUAGAUAAUAAAGCAAUAAACUUAGAGCAACCAAGGAACUUUUUAAAGUAAAAAAUAUUUUUUGAAAAAAUUAAUAAAAUUUUAAAAUGCUCUCUAACAAAAAUUUUUAUUUAUGUUUUUUUAUUUUUAUUUUUUCUAUAAAUAUUUACUAUUUUAUUUGUAAUUUUUUUUAUAUGAGCUAUUUAUUUCUUAAAUGUUAUAAUAAUGACAUACAAACUUAUAUUAUAUUUAAUUAAAUUUAUAUAAUAUUGAAAUAAAAAAUAAUUUUUACAUUUCAUAUUUAAAAAAUUAAAUUAAUUUUUUAUAUUAAAAAAUUAAAUUAAAAAAUCAAUUGAAAUUCUCUUUUAAAUAUUAUUUUUUUAAAAUAAUAAAUAUGACUCAUUUAAAAACUUUAUUUGGGAAUGCUCUUAUGACGGCAACUCAUGCCCUGAGCUUGAGCGUGUUUGCCCCCUUUCUAACCUUAAUCCAUAUGACUUCCACAUGUUGGGCAACUUUUGCUUUUACACCCACAAAUGUCUCUUUUAUAUAGUUUCUAGGCUUCUUCAUAAAACGUCAUUGGAUGCUCAAUUGGACUCUUUGAUUUCCAAGGAGAAUUAUCCAUGGUUAAUGAAUUCUUCAAAGAGGUCAAUUUAUAGAUCUCCCCCUCAAAACUCCAAAUCAUUCAAUGGAUUUUUCAAUUUUUUCAAUUCCCUGAAAUGUCUUAAAAAAAAAAAAUUCAUAUGAAAUGCUCAUAGAAAUUUCUCUCAGGUUUUUUAGGACCUCUUUUAUAGGUUACACCAAAAUGAUACAAAAAUAACAAAACAAGUGGCAUUGUGGUAAUUUUUAAAGUUUAAAUAGUAUAGUGUCAAACAUAUAAAAAUUCAAAAGGAUAAAAUAUAU